AGAGUUUGAUCCUGGCUCAGGACGAACGCUGGCGGUGCGCUUUAUGCAUGCAAGUCGAGCGAAGCUUUUCAGUAGUUUACUACAGAAAAUGACUGAGCGGCGAACGGGUGAGUAACGCGUGAGCAAUCUACCUUAGUUACAGGGAUAGCCCGAGGAAACUCGGAUUAAUACCUGAUAUUCUUUUUAUCUCGCAUGAGAUUUAAGGAAAGGUCAGCCGAACUAAGAUGAGCUCGCGUUCUAUCAGCUAGUUGGUGAGGUAAUAGCUCACCAAGGCUACGACGGAUAGCUGGUCUGAGAGGACGAUCAGCCACACUGGGACUGAGACACGGCCCAGACUCCUACGGGAGGCUGCAGCAGGGAAUAUUGCGCAAUGAGCGAAAGCUUGACGCAGCGACACCGCGUGUGGGAUGACGGAUCUAGGUUUGUAAACCACUUUCAGGAGGGAAGAAAAUGACGGUACCUCCACAAGAAGCCCCGGCCAACUACGUGCCAGCAGCCGCGGUAAUACGUAGGGGGCGAGCGUUGUCCGGAUUUAUUGGGCGUAAAGAGCUCGUAGGCGGUUCAACAAGUCGGUCGUGAAAGUUCAGGGCUCAACCCUGAAAUGUCGAUCGAUACUGUUGUGACUAGGAUACGGUAGAGGUGAGUGGAAUUCCGAGUGUAGCGGUGAAAUGCGUAGAUAUUCGGAGGAACACCAAUUGCGAAGGCAGCUCACUGGGCCGCUAUCGACGCUGAGGAGCGAAAGCUAGGGGAGCAAACAGGAUUAGAUACCCUGGUAGUCCUAGCUGUAAACGAUGGAUACUAGACGUAGGAACUGGAUUGACGGUUUCUGUGUCGUAGCUAACGCGUUAAGUAUCCCGCCUGGGGAGUACGGUCGCAAGACUAAAACUCAAAGGAAUUGACGG
rnacentral:rRNA from 1 species